rnacentral:rRNA from 1 species
UUAAAUUAAUAAGGGCGUAUGGUGGAUGCCUAGGCAUUAGAAGACGAAGAAGGACGCGACAAACAGCGAAAUUGCCUCGGGGAGUUGUAAGUAAGCAUUGAUCCGGGGGUAUCCGAAUGAGGAAACUUACCAAGAAAGGUAUCCUAAAAUGAAUACAUAGUUUUAGUGAAGGAAACCCUGUGAACUGAAACAUCUUAGUAACAGGAGGAAAAGAAAGAAAAAUCGAUUGCCUUAGUAGUGGCGAGCGAAACGGCAAUAGCCCAAACCAAUCUACGGAUUGGGGUAGUAGGACACUUCAUAACGAGAAAAAGAGCUAAAGAUAGCUAAAUGAUUUGGGAAAGUCAGUCAAAGAAGGUGAAAACCCUGUAGGCGAAAUCUGAAGCACUCAGAAGUGAAUCCUGAGUACGGCGGGACACGAGAAAUCCUGUCGGAAUCAACGGGGACCAUCCCGUAAGGCUAAAUACUCUCUAAUGACCGAUAGUGAACAAGUACCGUGAGGGAAAGGUGAAAAGAACCCCGGGAGGGGAGUGAAAUAGAAUACUGAAACCAUAUGCUUACAAAAAGUUCGAGCCCGUUAAUGGGUGAGAGCGUGCCUUUUGCAGAAUGAGCCGGCGAGUUAUGGUAUUGUGCAAGGUUAAGUAGAAAAUACGGAGCCGAAGCGAAAGCGAGUCUUAAAAGGGCGAAAAAGUACAAUGCUGUAGACCCGAAACUGAGUGAUCUAGCCAUGAGCAGGUUGAAGUGUAGGUAACACUACAUGGAGGACCGAACCAGGGUACUAUGUAACGUGCUUGGAUGACUUGUGGUUAGCGGUGAAAUUCCAAUCGAACUCAGAGAUAGCUGGUUCUCCCCGAAAUAGGUUUAGGCCUAGCCUUGAAGAAUUUCCUCUGGAGGUAGAGCACUGAAUGUGGAAUGGCCGCGUCUAGCGGUACUGACUGCAAUCAACCUCCGAAUGCCAGAGUAGUUAGCUUCAGGAGUCAGUUUAUGGGUGAUAACGUCCAUAUGCGAGAGAAAAACAAUUCAGACCACCAGUUAAGGUCCCAAAAUAUAUGUUAAGUGGGAAAGGAUGUGGAGUUGCACGAACAGCUAGGAGGUUGGCUCAGAAGCAGCCAUCCUUUAAAGAGUGCGUAAUAGCUCACUAGUCGAGUGGCUCUGCGCCGAAAAUGUACCGGGGCUAAACAUAUUACCGAAACUGUGGAUUUAUGCGAUAGCAUAAGUGGUAGGGGAGCGUUCUAAGGGCGACGAAGAUAGAUCGAGAGGACUAUUGGAGCGCUUAGAAGUGAGAAUGCCGGUGUGAGUAACGUAAGGUAGGUGAGAAUCCUACCCACUGAUUGACCAAGGAUUCCAGGGUCAAGUUCGUCUACCCUGGGUAAGUCAGGACCUAAGGCGAGGCUGAGAAGCGUAGUCGAUGGACAACAGGUUUAUAUUCCUGUACUAUUUAUAGGACUGAAGGAGUGACAAAGGAAGCUAGUAAGAGCCAUUUAAUGGAUUAUGGUCUAAGCACAAAGACUGAUACAUAGGAAAAUCCGUGAUAUCGAACGGUUGAAGUGUGAUGGCGAAGCAGUCUACGGACAGCGAAGUCUUAUGAGGCUAAACUUUUUAAAAAAGCUUCUAAAGAAAUGCUAUAAAUACCUGUACUAAGAACCAACGCAGGUGGUCAAGGAGAGAAUCCUAAGGUGAGCGAGAGAACUAUGGUUAAGGAACUCGGCACAAUGAUCCCGUAACUUCGGAAUAAGGGAAGGUCUUGAAAAAGACCCGCAGUGAAUAGGCCCAAGCGACUGUUUACCAAAAACACAGGUUUCUGCAAAAGCGUAAGCUGAAGUAUAGGAGCUGACGCCUGCCCAGUGCUGGAAGGUUAAGAUGAUUUGUAAGAUGGACGAAAGUCGAUAACAUCGAAGCAAUGAAUUGAAGCCCCAGUGAACGGCGGCGAUAACUAUAAUCGUCCAAAGGUAGCGAAAUUCCUUGUCAGGUAAGUUCUGACCCGCACGAAAGGCGUAACGA